CGUGUACGAGGCCACGAAAUCUGAAGCAAAUGUGCGGUGCCUGAUGUAUUCGCUUAACUCCUCCAAGUGACUGAUUCUGCCAAGGUCGAAUUAAUAAGUCUCCUUUGAUGUUAAUGAUUGAGAGGUUCCCCGGAAAGGACGGAAUGCUGACCGCAGGACACUGUUUGGAAAUACCUAAACGAACUUGAUGGCGACUCCUAGCCUGUGUUUGAGCCGACGCGACGGACUUCGACGCGUUCUGUAAAAGACGCCCCCCUCCCCCCCGCCGCUUGCCUGACCCGCAGUUUAUUUUUGUCCGUUUUUAACUUGGAGCCGUCUCAAAAGCAAGCCACGAACGGACUGCUCGGCAGCUCACUUGGAGGAGGCACAACCAGCUCUCGACGGAGCGCGGCCUGCAGUCAGCACCGGGCAGGAGGCACCGGCUGGCCCUUUCCGCAGGACCAGCGGCGGCAGCGCGGGCCCACAGGUUUCGGUUAGACCGCAACAGGAAGUUUUCUCUUCUCUUGCGGGAAGCCGUGCAACCAAAGAGAAAUUUGAACUCCCACACCCGCGGGAGCACCCAGAGAUUCGGCUUAGGUGACGCUUCUCCUCGGCACCCAGUUAUCGGACUCCCUGUUGUGACCUCCUUAGCGGCUUCCCCAAUAUUUUGGGGUCCUUGGAGAGCUGGAGUGGUGGCCUGUUGCCGUGUAUGAGCGAGAGAGCACAAGGAGGCAGAGUAGCAGAGGGAGAGGGAGAAGCAGGCUCCCCACUGAGCAGGGAGCCGGACCGACAUGGGGCUCAAUCCCAGGACCCUGAGACCACAGUCUGAGCCAAAGGCAGUUGCCUAACCAACUGAGCCACCCAGGUGCCCCUGAGGUAGUAUUAUUGAAUCCUAUCCGUGGUAGUAUAAUUAUGACUGAUUUGUCUGCCUAACUUGUCAUUCAUUAUUUUACUUUCUCUUUGCUCUUUGUAAAACAUGUGCCAAGUUAUGAUACUUGGGCUUUAAGAAUGUCAAGAGGUAAGAAGGAGCCUGUGUUAGGGAAAUCAUAUUGUUGGCUAACUUCCUUUGUGUUUCUCCAUGGUAAUACCAAGUGCUGGUCAUUUUACUAGAAAGAUGAGACUUCAAACUCAUUCUCAGUCAAUAUUGUCUUUCUCCUGAAAAGAAAGUGUUUAUUACUGCUGAAUUCAAAACUGAACUUCGUCAAUAAACACAGUUCUUUUCUUUUCACUGAUGUAGUCAACAAUCAUUUUAGGAAGAUGUAAAAAUUGGGGUCCUCGCAUGGCUCAGUCAGUUAAGCUGGUAGUGGCUGGGGUCAUGAUCUUGGCUUUUGGCUCGGGACAUGAUCUUGGGGUCUUAGGAUCAAGCUCCACAUUGGGUUCCCUGCUCGGUGGGGAGUCUACUUGUACCUCUCUCUCUGCUCCUUUCCCCUGCUUGUGCUCUCUCUCUCUCUCACACAUAAGUAAAUAAAAAAAUCUUUUAAACUGUUUUAGAAAAAUGUAAAAAUCACUCUACAUUUAUUAAAUUGUGCAAUAGAUUAACUCAGAGAGCCCGGUAAAUUAAUCUCAAAAUAAUUAAACUGAACUCUUUUUAAAUUAAAUUUUAAUUUUAAAAAUAAUUUUCGAUUUAUAGAAAAGUUGCUAUGUACUCUUCACCCAGCUUCUUCUAAUAUCUUCUAUUACCAAGAGACGUGUCAAAACAAGGAAAUUAACAUUGGUGUUUUAUUGAAGGGAUUUUCAGGAAUGGAGGGAAAUGAAAAAGACAAAAUCAUUUUACUUUCUCUUGAAGACUGAACAAAAUGCAUGAGGAUUCGGUAAAUGGCAAAUGGCUUUGACCCCUUUUGCUGCUCAUUAACUAUCUGGUGUUAGCACCUGCCUCCCCUUGGUUGUCUCCCUUCACUGUCCAUUUCCCAGCAGGUGGCAGUGACCCACUGUGGCGUAUGAUUGAUCCAGCUGUACACCUAAAGCCUGGUGUCUGCUCUCAUAGCCAUGGGCCCCACACGAUGUUGCACUAAAUGUGAGUAUUUUGAACGCAGGGGAGCCUUCUUGCUGCUCCCAAGUCCAUUAGAGCAGUGGUUACAAUUUGGUGGUCAAAAGCAAGGCUGUGUUGUCAGACUCCUGGGUUUAAACCUUGCCUCUACUUUGGGACUUUCAGCAAAGGCUUUCACCUUUAAGUUUCCCUUUUCUCAUUCCCAUUUUGCAGAGAGGAAAUGAGUGCUGUAGUGAGGUUUACAUUUUAUAAUUGUCAGACAUCACAGGGAAGAGGGCCCAGUACAGAGUAAGCGCUUAGUAAAUGUUACCUGUUAUUAUCAAUGUGUUUCAGAAACCGUGGGUGGCUCAGUCUCCCAACUGGGUGGUCAAGAAAUAACCAAGACUCAAUGGUAGAGCAAAAGCAUAAGGAAGUCAGACUUUUAUUUAUUGUCCACAAGAGGAUGAGAAUUGCAAAGCCCUGAGAAGAGGACAGUCCCAAUCAUCCUACCACCUGCCUAUAGAAAUAUAUAUGCAUCAUGCUGCCUUGUCACAGGGAUCUUGAAAUGCCACCCUAAUACUUAUGUUAACAAUGUCACAUUUUAUUUUAUUUUUAAAAAAGGUUUUAUUUUUAAGUAAUCUCUACAUCCAACAUGGGGCUUGAACCCACAACCCCGAGAUCAAGAGUCUCACCCUCCACUGACUGAGCCAGCCAGGCACCCCUACAGCUUCACAUUUUAAAAUACCAACACCCUGGAGAAUUACUGCAUUAAAUGAUCUUUACAAUAGAACACUCUAAUGGAAAAUUAUCUAAUUAUCUGAUUAUUUUUCUCCUGGCAGUGAGAAACCUGGGAAUUUUAGUGGGAGUGCGGGGGGGAGGGGGGGGGGACAAAAGGGUAAUCUUGGAAUCUGGGGUACCAUCUUCGAAAGACAGGCUUAACCAAAGGAAAAAGUUCCAGGCUGCCAAGAAGUUGAAGAAGGGAUACUGAAUGCCUGGGAAGUAUGCUAGAGAAGCUGUUCAGUAUCGAAGAAAAGGAAAAUGGGAAGCAGAACUAAAGUAAACUUGGAUUCCUGCACAACUUAAUUUAAGGAAGACUGGAUUUUCUCAACACAUUUAAUUUCAGUAGUUGCCAACCAUUCUCAAGUAAAACCAUUUGAGAAGAAAGAUAGACCUGAAUAGAGACUUCUUUCCAAUAUUUAUCGAUCACCCAUAUGGACCAGGCACUUUGCUAAGUGCUCAUCACACAGAGGAGAACCAGAUAUUUUUGUCUUCAGAGAAUUUAUAUUCUAAAAGGGUGGGCCAAAAGCAUAAAAAACUAAGGAAAAUGUACUUUCAAGUUGUGAUAUGUGCAAUGAAGAAUACAAAACCUACACUAUUGUAUUUUUUUGUCUUCCACUCUACAAUCUGAAUACCUUGCAAAAUCUGUGGUACAACAGAGAUAAGUUGGCAAUGACUACAAUCUUCAUAAUUUACAACAUCAACUAUUAUUGACUUAGGUCCCAUGUAAGAAAUCCCAUGGAGGACUUCUAGGGAUAAUCUUAUAGCACUCUCAGAACCCUCAGAAAUUCUUUAAACUUAACAUUCUAAGCACUGAGGGGCUCCCCAAAGCCAGCUAUGAUCAUUAAGUAGGUGAGAUGAACUGCUGUCCGUGAGGUUUGACUUUAGGAUUUAGCUGCUGUCUGCUCUCCCCACCCUAAUGCAGUGUCCAUCCUUCAGCUGCAUCUUCAGAAAUUCUAGGGUUGAGAAUUCUAAUAGACUGGCCUAAGGACAAGAACAAAGGGAAUGGUGGUUAAGUUAUGGAGCUGCUAGUGAUAAGAAGAGAGAGGCUUAAGGAAUAUACCCAAAGCCCCAGAAAAGAAGGUAUUGAGAAAACUGAUGGAAAAUGCUUCAUGUAGGAGAGUAAACUCACGACGCUUCCAGAUCAGAAACCCCGGUCAAGAGUAGAGUGGGGAACAGGAUUCCUCCUGAACUUUAAAGGCAAAGUGGGAGCCAUUUGAGGUCCCUGCUUGCUCAACUGUUAGAGGGGACUAUAAAUCUGUAUUACGCCAGGCUGCCUGUGCAGUCCUAAACAUUCUUUUAUGCAUGUGAUUACUAAAGCCACUGCAAGGAGAAGUCAAGCAGAGGACUUAAGUUAUCUGUUACAAGGAUCAUUGUGCUACAGUCGAUAGAAUGCCGAGAUAGAAUGUAAAAUAUAGUUACGCCUUACCUCUCCCUAGUGAAAGAGGUAAUAAGAGGAAUAUGAACUGGAGUAAUCAAGUAAAACUGCUACCUUCUUGAGCCUUCAAGCACCCUUUUUUAAAAAAAUCUGCCCAGCAUCCUUUCUGGGGGAACACGUCCCCCACCCACAUUCCAAAGUAUUCCUGGUCAGGUGGUUUGGCCCAAGGAUGGGUAUGUGGUCCAGACUCAGUCAAUCAGCUACAGUCGAUAGAAUUCUAGUCACAGUGAUUAGUUCCUGAAAGAGUAGUUCCCCAGAAGUCUCUGUGUUUAUUUACCAGCUAUCCAGAAAAAUACCCCCUUUUCCAGGAUCAUAAGCUGUAGGAACUCUGGAGGUCUGAGGUAACCAGAGUCCAACUGACUGACGCAUGGAGUCAGCUUGAAGAUGAAACUAAGCAGCGGCAAACGGGAUAGGGAGUGAGGGCGGAGAGGUCCUAACCUAUACUAUAUCCACUCUGUAAGAUCUUUGUGUGGGUGAAGCUGAGUAGAAGGACAAGUUUCUACCAGUCUCUAGGAAUGGGGCAACCUGCUCUCUGACUCACCGUAGAACCAGCUAUCCUUGUUAGAAGGGGACAGUUUCUCAAAGACAUUUAUCGUGGAAGGGGACUGAUGAUAGCAAAUAAUGAGGUGGGACUAUUUGAAGUUAUUUGCCUUGGGGUAGCCAAGUUUAGUGUAUACCUGUCUGCUCUCUCAAGCCUUCCCAUGCACUGCACUCCCCUCUCCACCAAUCCCUGUCCUCAUCCCCAUCUCCGCUGCAUUCCAUUAACCCGCCUUACCAUUCACCUCGGGGGGAAAAAGAGUGAGGAAGAAAAAGCAAGACUGAGACAGCAUCCAAACCCAUCAUAAUUAGUCUUCUUGUCUUUCUCAGACAUCAGUCUUUAGAAUGUUUGAAAGCAAGACUGUGUCUCCCACUCCUGGAUGGUCAAGGUCUUACACAGCCCCAAGACUUAGUAAGCAUGUCAGUGAACUUGAGUGAAUCUGGAAGGGGCUGUAGAGAUGGAGGCCCUGUAGUAUUCAGCCUGAGAAAGUCAUUGCUUUGGAUGGAAGUGUUGCCUCUCCAAGCAUCCUCUUGAAAAACCCAAAUACUCAGAGGAAACUUAAGGUACUGCACUUAAUGAAGAGGAGCCCAGCAACUCUCAUUUUUGGCAGCUAUCAGAACAAGAGGAAACACAAACACUGGAUUUUAGAGAACAGUCCGAGUAUGAUAGAAAGAGCACAAGUUUGGUUAACUGAUUUGGAGAACAGUUGGAUCUCUCUCCCAAAGUUGAACAUUUGUGUGGAUUUGAUCCAACAAUUCAUUCCGAGGGAUGGACCUGAGGGAAACUCAUGCAGAUUUGCAACAGGAGACAUGUGCAACAAUGUUCAGAGUUUCGCAGUGUGAAAACCUGAGAACAGCCCAGAUGCCCAUCAACAGGAGAGUGGAUGGGUGAAAUAACAUUAUCUAUACUAUAGUGAAAUAUAGUUACAUAACAUUAUCUAUACUAUAACAUUAUCUAUACUAUCUAUACUACAUUAACUAUACUAAUAUAGUUACAUAACAUUAUCACAUAGCAAUAAAAACAAAUGAACUAUGCUAAUUCACUACAGUGUGGAUAAAUCCUAGAAAUGAAACAAUAAAACAUUAAGUGAAGAAAGUAGUUGUCCUAAAAGUAUACAAAAUCAUAAUUUGUAUAAAGUUGAAAACAACUAAUAUAAGAAUAUACUUUAUAAUCUUAAAUCUUAGUUCAUACAAAUAUUGCCUGAAAUCAUUAGAAGCAUUGAUACAAGAGUUAAACUUGAAUCAUGAAUAGAGUUGGAUUGACGGAAAUGGAGUGAUCUGUUCCAGUGUGUGAUUAAGCGUAGACUGAGGCGGGAAUAUGUUGAGUGACGAAGAGGAUAAAAAAAAUGACACUUCAAGAGUACAACUAGACCGUGAACUUUCUAAAGGCUGGUAUUGUGUAUUAUUCAUCUUUAUAUCCCCCUGGCCCGGCACGGUACAUGAAUGAAUAGAGUUCAACAAUUGUUUGUUAUUUAAGUGGAUUAAAUACAUAAAUAAAAGCAUAACUUAGAAAAAGAAUAUACUUUAUAGAAAUAUAUAUAGAUGCAAUAAAACUACCUAUUUAAAAAAACAAAGGAAUUCUGGAGGAUGGUUUUCUUGGGUGAAUACAUGAGGGGAGUGGGCUGGGGGACCACAUGGUUAGAUGAAGGUUAUGUCAAGGUUCUAGCUUUUGUUUGGGAUUGUGGGUACCAAACACAUGAUUACAAACAACAAAAUUAAUAAGUCAAGACAAAACU